rnacentral:rRNA from 1 species
CUCCGGUGCAGUGUCCGGCAGGGCAGGGCAGGGUAGAGUUAUCGGGGGCCGUGCCGCUCGUUAGGGUGGGGUUUGACUGCGGGAGGCCGCGUACUAGGCGGGCGGGGCGGAGGAGGAGGUGGCGCGGGGGAAGGAGGAGGCUUGGGGCGGUGGCGGAGCGUGGGGCGGCGAGCGGCGGGCGGCUCGGGAUUGGGGCUGAGAAGCCUCGAAGCGCAGGGCGGCGGAGCGCGGCGAGACGGACGACUACCUAGGCCGGUGCGGGAUGAGGCUACGGCUGCGGAUGCGGAUGCGGCUCAAGUUGCCCCUCUGACCGCACCUGCUGGGCCUCAAGCGCCUGCGGCUCCGCCUUCGCCCCCCUCUCCUGCGACCACUACUCUACGGGUCCCUUGACGGGCUCCUCGAGCGGUCUCCCCACCACACGGAGCUCACGGUGUGAAGCCGGCUCCGGCACCGCCGGCCCCUUCCGCUCUGGACGGCGCAGAUGCAGCAGCCGUGGCGGGUACAGAGCGUCCUUAGUACACUAGUUCAGUUUCGGCAGUAGUUGAAAGACUUCGGAGUCCGACAAAAGAACCUUGACACAAGGUCGUCCCAAAGAUAAGACUGUGGUGUUUUGGAAGUCCAAGGAUGGUACUUACUUUACUAACUGUACACCUUCUUCUUUUUCUACUUGUGGAAACCCUAAGAGAUAUCGACCAAAGAACGUUUCCAACGAUCGGUCGAACUACAUAAUGGACCUCGACUUAAAGCUCACCGUAAACUCCUUCGUUACUGCAUACCACCGUUUCAAUAGGAACCUCUAGCGGGACAGGUCUAGUGAGACUCCUCUUGAACCCCCUUUUACAGUAACACCGUGUCUCGAUUUAAAGACAUGAUGUAACAAAAGGUCAGGAAUAAAAAUGGCUCGGGACUUCUAGAAUUAUUUUACAAUUUCCUGUACCUACUACAACUGUACGAUUGUGAACAGUAAGUUCUCUACUCGUUCCGUAAAGGAUCAGACUACCUCUGUGAAGAGGUACUUGCACUAUACAUAUACAGAAGGUUUAAUAACUUCCAUCGUUCCCUUGUAAGAAGUCACCACCGUCAACACCCUUUUCCCGUACAAAGACCCUAUUUCUUUUUAACCGUUGUUGGUUAACUCCAUGUUGCAAACUACCUUAAUGGACACGGAUCCUUUCCACGAAGCUUCAACUUUUAAAACCGCAGGUAACCUCGUCAUUCGCGUCAUCAUCGUAGACCUUAGAUAUAUACCCCAUUUUUUAUUGUUAAUCCACAUUAAAGACCUUAGCUUCAACUUGUUUACUUUCUCGUUAAAGUGACGUGACAUGUGACCUACAGAGAAAGGUUUCGAAAGGAUAAAAUGAUCCCAUUUUGGACAAGUAACGAUGUCUUUUGAGACGGCUUUUGCAAGUUCAACGUGUAAAUCUUAUCCUUUUGCUAAAACCGAACGUUUAACAUCACGUAAACACGACAAAAAAA